rnacentral:rRNA from 1 species
GCUUAACACAUGCAAGUCGAACGGAAAGGCCCUGCUUUUGUGGGGUGCUCGAGUGGCGAACGGGUGAGUAACACGUGAGUAACCUGCCCUUGACUUUGGGAUAACUUCAGGAAACUGGGGCUAAUACCGGAUAGGAGCUCCUGCUGCAUGGUGGGGGUUGGAAAGUUUCGGCGGUUGGGGAUGGACUCGCGGCUUAUCAGCUUGUUGGUGGGGUAGUGGCUUACCAAGGCUUUGACGGGUAGCCGGCCUGAGAGGGUGACCGGCCACAUUGGGACUGAGAUACGGCCCAGACUCCUACGGGAGGCAGCAGUGGGGAAUAUUGCACAAUGGGCGGAAGCCUGAUGCAGCAACGCCGCGUGCGGGAUGACGGCCUUCGGGUUGUAAACCGCUUUCGCCUGUGACGAAGCGUGAGUGACGGUAAUGGGUAAAGAAGCACCGGCUAACUACGUGCCAGCAGCCGCGGUGAUACGUAGGGUGCGAGCGUUGUCCGGAUUUAUUGGGCGUAAAGGGCUCGUAGGUGGUUGAUCGCGUCGGAAGUGUAAUCUUGGGGCUUAACCCUGAGCGUGCUUUCGAUACGGGUUGACUUGAGGAAGGUAGGGGAGAAUGGAAUUCCUGGUGGAGCGGUGGAAUGCGCAGAUAUCAGGAGGAACACCAGUGGCGAAGGCGGUUCUCUGGGCCUUUCCUGACGCUGAGGAGCGAAAGCGUGGGGAGCGAACAGGCUUAGAUACCCUGGUAGUCCACGCUGUAAACGGUGGGUACUAGGUGUGGGGUCCAUUCCACGGGUUCCGUGCCGUAGCUAACGCUUUAAGUACCCCGCGUGGGGAGUACGGCCGCAAGGCUAAAACUCAAAGGAAUUGACGGGGCCCCGCACAAGCGGCGGAGCAUGCGGAUUAAUUCGAUGCAACGCGUAGAACCUUACCUGGGUUUGACAUGGAUCGGGAGUGCUCAGAGAUGGGUGUGCCUCUUUUGGGGUCGGUUCACAGGUGGUGCAUGGCUGUCGUCAGCUCGUGUCGUGAGAUGUUGGGUUAAGUCCCGCAACGAGCGCAACCCUUGUUCACUGUUGCCAGCACGUUAUGGUGGGGACUCAGUGGAGACCGCCGGGGUCAACUCGGAGGAAGGUGGGGAUGACGUCAAGUCAUCAUGCCCCUUAUGUCCAGGGCUUCACGCAUGCUACAAUGGCUGGUACAGAGAGUGGCGAGCCUGUGAGGGUGAGCGAAUCUCGGAAAGCCGGUCUCAGUUCGGAUUGGGGUUUGCAACUCGACCUCAUGAAGUCGGAGUCGCUAGUAAUCGCAGAUCAGCAACGCUGCGGUGAAUACGUUCCCGGGGCUUGUACACACCGCCCGUCAAGUCAUGAAAGUUGGUAACACCCGAAGCCGGUGGCCUAACCGUUGUGGGGGAGCCGUCGAAGGUGGGACUGGUGAUUAGGACUAA